AUGGCGCGCUGGGCCAUCGCCAUCCACGGCGGCGCGGGCGUGGACCCGAACCUGCCGGAGCACCGCCAGGAGGAGGCCAAGCGGGUGCUGGCGCGGUGCCUGCAGGCCGGCGUCGACCUGCUGCGGGCUGGUGCGACGGCGCUGGACGUCGUGGAGGCCGUGGUGCGCGAGCUGGAGACGGACCCCUGCUUCAACUCUGGCCGCGGCUCCGCGCUCACCCGCGCCGGCACCGUCGAGAUGGAGGCCAGCAUCAUGGACGGCCGCGGCCGCCGCUGCGGCGCAGUCUCGGGCGUCUCCACCGUUAAAAACCCCGUGUCCCUCGCCCGCCGCGUCAUGGACAAGUCCCCCCACUCCUACCUCGCCUUCGACGGCGCCGAGGAUUUCGCGCGCGAGCAGGGUCUUGAGGUUGUGGACAACAGCUACUUCAUCACGGAGGAGAACGUCAGUAUGCUCAAGCUCGCCAAGGAGGCCAACAGCAUCCUCUUCGACUACCGCAUCCCGCUGGCCGGGGCCGACACCUGCAGCGCGCUGGCGGCGGCGGUGGAGGGCCACGGCAGCAACGGCAUGGUGAUGAACGGGCUGCCCAUCAGCAUCUACGCGCCGGAGACGGUGGGGUGCGCGGUGGUGGACUCUAACGGCUUCACGGCGGCGGCCACCUCCACGGGAGGGCUGAUGAACAAGAUGACGGGACGCAUCGGCGACUCGCCGCUCAUCGGCGCCGGCACCUACGCGUGCGGUCACUGCGCCGUGUCUUGCACUGGCGAGGGCGAGGCCAUCAUCCGCUCCACGCUGGCGCGGGACGUGGCGGCCGUCAUGGAGUAUAAAGGGCUCCCGCUGCAGGAGGCCGUGGACUUCUGCGUCAAGGAGCGGCUCGACGAGGGGUUCGCGGGGCUCAUCGCCGUGUCCGGCACCGGCGAGGUUGCCUACGGGUUCAACUGCACCGGCAUGUUCCGGGGCUGUGCCACCGAGGACGGCUUCAUGGAGGUCGGCAUCUGGGAGUGA
rnacentral:rRNA from 1 species